GAUGAACGCUGGCGGCGUGCCUAAUACAUGCAAGUCGAGCGAACAGACGAUGAGCUUGCUCCUCUGACGUUAGCGGCGGACGGGUGAGUAACACGUGGAUAACCUACCUAUAAGACUGGGAUAACUUCGGGAAACCGGAGCUAAUACCGGAUAAUAUAUUGAACCGCAUGGUUCAAUAGUGAAAGACGGUUUUGCUGUCACUUAUAGAUGGAUCCGCGCCGCAUUAGCUAGUUGGUAAGGUAACGGCUUACCAAGGCAACGAUGCGUAGCCGACCUGAGAGGGUGAUCAGCCACACUGGAACUGAGACACGGUCCAGACUCCUACGGGAGGCAGCAGUAGGGAAUAUUCCGCAAUGGGCGAAAGCUUGACGGAGCAACGCCGCGUGAGUGAUGAAGGUCUUCGGAUCGUAAAACUCUGUUAUUAGGGAAGAACAAAUGUGUAAGUAACUAUGCACGUCUUGACGGUACCUAAUCAGAAAGCAACGGCUAACUACGUG
rnacentral:rRNA from 1 species